rnacentral:rRNA from 1 species
UAAUUGAAGAGUUUGAUCAUGGCUCAGAUUGAACGCUGGCGGCAGGCCUAACACAUGCAAGUCGAGCGGUAACAGGAGAAAGCUUGCUUUCUUGCUGACGAGCGGCGGACGGGUGAGUAAUGUAUGGGGAUCUGCCCGAUAGAGGGGGAUAACUACUGGAAACGGUGGCUAAUACCGCAUAAUGUCUACGGACCAAAGCAGGGGCUCUUCGGACCUUGCACUAUCGGAUGAACCCAUAUGGGAUUAGCUAGUAGGUGGGGUAAAGGCUCACCUAGGCGACGAUCUCUAGCUGGUCUGAGAGGAUGAUCAGCCACACUGGGACUGAGACACGGCCCAGACUCCUACGGGAGGCAGCAGUGGGGAAUAUUGCACAAUGGGCGCAAGCCUGAUGCAGCCAUGCCGCGUGUAUGAAGAAGGCCUUAGGGUUGUAAAGUACUUUCAGCGGGGAGGAAGGUGAUAA